CCGAUUUCUAAGAUGGGCUUUUAAAAUUCAAAGGCUGGUGACUGGUGGUCUUCUCAAGUAAGCCAUACUGCCAUAUCAUUAUCAUCCCUACUACUAGCCACGUACAAAGCUAAGUUAAGAAAUAUCAUUUGAUCUCUCACAAAAUCAACAACUCAUCUUUCCCAAUUCUCCCUAGGUCAAAAAAAAAAAAAAAACGAACACACACACAACCUCCUCCUUUGGCCUCAUAUUCACCUGUACAAUCAAAAUUCUCCACUCUCCAGUGCCGUCAGCCUCCAUUUGUGUCGAUGCUCUAAUUUUGACUCAAAAAACUUCAGAUAGAUUCAUCAAAUGUCGACAUCGAGAAUGUAUCAAGCUACGAUUCUAAAGGAGAUGGAAGAGGAAAGAGGAAAUCACAAAAUGUCGAAAAACAAACUGCAAAAAAGAUAGCUAAAACCACAACAACGAAGAAAACGACAGGUUCUAAAACAUCAGGAAAAUCUACUAUUUGGAUUGAUUUUGAGAAGUAUAAAGAUGAGGACGGAAACCAACGAGCAAGAUGCAAGCAUUGCUCGAAAGAUUUGGCUGCAGACACGUAUAAAAUGGCACAUCAGCAUUGAGUAAACAUAGUAGGGGAUGUGAAAAACAUCCGGAUUUUUUUUUUAAAAAACCAAAGCAAUAUUUUCUUGAAAAAAGGCGAUGAUGGUGAGGGCGGUAGCGGUGAGGUUAAGGCAUGGAAGUAUUGUGCGAAAGCAAGUAGAAGAGCCAUAGCAGAGAUGGUGUUAAUAGACGAGGUCCCGUUUUCAACUGUUGAGCAUCAGGGAUUUAGAAGGGUUAUAGAAAGUUUUAAUCUGAAUUUUAAGAUGCCUAGAAGGUUUAUGAUUGCGAGGGAUAUUGGGGAAAUAUUUUUGGAGGAAAAAGGGAAGUUGAAGUCAUUUUUUUCAAAGAAUAGCACACGGGUGUGUCUAACCACAAACAUGUGGACUUCAAAUUAGCGGGUUAACUAUAUGUGUGUUACAACUCAUUUUAUAGAUGACAAUUGGGUGUUACACAAAAGGAUCAUCAACUUCAAGCAAAUAUUCAGCCACAAGGGAGAUGAGAUAGGUAGGUCCCUUAUUCAAUGUUUAAAAGAAUGGGAUAUUGAAAAUGUGCUGACCAUACAAUUUCUAAAAAGAAGGUUAAACAACCUCUUGUUCGACGGGAGAUACUUGCACAUCCGAUGUAUGGCACACAUAAUCAAUCUGAUUGUGAAAGACGGCUUACGUGAUGGGUCAUAAUGCAUAAAUCGUAUUAUAGAUUCAAUUCGCUAUAUCAGAUUGUAUCCUAAUUAAUUAGAUACUUACAAAAAGUGUGUUAAGGCAGAAAAGAUCGAAAGCAAAGCAUUAAUAGGUAUAAAUGUGGCUACAAGAUGGAACUCGACUUGGGAGAUGUUAGACAAGGCAGAAAAAUUUGAGAAGGCGUUAAACAUAUAUGAUCUGGAUGACCCAAAUUAUAAAAAUGAUUUGGGUGAUGAUGCUCCUAGAGUUACUGACUGGAGCUACACAAGACAAUUGGCAAGUGUGUUAGAAUUGUUUCACCGUAAAACUACCAAUGCUUCUGCUCCAAAACAGUUACCGUUAAUUUAUUUUUUAACAAGGUUAUGGAUAUAGACAAGCAUUUAAGGAAGAUGAAAGACGGAAUUGACUUGGAAGGUAAACUUAUGGGUGCUAAGAUACACAAGAAGUUCGACAAGUACUGGAGAAAUAUACCGACUGGCAGAUCUUUUAAUUACAUUCUGUAUUUUGCUGCAAUUUUAGAUCCGAGGUUAAAGGUUCGUGUUAUUCAGUUUGGAUUUGAGAGAAUAUUCAGGGCUGAAAAAAAAAAGAUGAAGAGACAGAAGAUAACUUGAAGAAACGAGUUCAAAUUAUAGUUAAUAGUAUAAAGGACGAAUUGAAGCUUUUGUAUGAGCAUUAUGCAUCAAGUAGUGAAAAACAAGGUUCAGAUAAAGUUUCACCAAGUCAGGAGAACUUUGAACCAUCCGCACAAGGAGAGAGUGAUUUUUUUUUUACAGAACUUAAAGCGGAUGGCGGUUCUACAUCUUAUACCACCAAGUCAGAACUUGAGAGGCACCUAGACGACGGAGAGGAGGCCUAUUACAAGGGGUUUGAUAUUCUGGGUUGGUGGAAGGCUGCAUCUUCAAAAUACCCUGUAUUAGCGAAAAUGGUGAAAGACAUAUCGGUUAUCCCGGUAUCCAGUGUGGCUUCUGAGGAGGCGUUUAGUACAGGCGGAAGAGUUGUCGAUACUUAUCGAACUUCUUUAUCAACUCCGAUUGUCGAGGCAUUAAUAUGUACAGAGGAUUGGAUUCGUGCAUCAAUUAAAAAGGAAAUCUACAUCGAAGAUUCGGUAGAGUUUGAUGAUAUUGGAAAAGGUAAUUUUGACAUACACCGAUACACAUCCUAAUAUAUAUUGUAAGUGUUAUAUGUUGUAGGCAAAAACUAGAUAUAAUACAAAAAAUGUUAAAGGAGCAGUAGACUGUCUUAUAUUCGGAAAUUAACGAAAACAAAUAUCACAUCAUAGUCAGACCUAGCAGGUUGGUGUUUGAAGACAAGAUUCAAAUGAUACUCUUCAGGUCUAGUAGCCUAGCAGGUUGGUGUACCGAAAAAGGAUUCUAGCUUCCGCUUUUUUAAUUUCAGUGAGCCAAAUUCUUGAACACUCGAUCUAAAUAUUCUAUGAUUUGCGGUGUCUAUCUUCACUGCCUCAAGGUAUUCACCUAGAGUUUUCGUUCGCAAAUCAUGUUCCAUCAAGUAGCUCAUCCACGCAUCACUGAACCUGUUCCCCAAACAAAUCGGGUAUCCUACUAGGCAACUUCUUAAACAUCGCUGCAAUACUUUCCGGUGCUACUUUGUUCUCUGCGAGCAGCAGUUAUGGCAUAUAUGUUUAGAUACUCUGGAAGUUUACCAUGGUCAAAAGACUCCCGCUAAAGCAGGCUUCUAUGUGUAUCAGCUGAUAAACAUUCAACAAAAUAUUAAAAUUAUGAUUGAAAUACAAAAACUGCCUAGACCUAGCAUUAUGAUUGUAAUAAUGUGACCAGGGGUCGCUAGUUUCACCGUGUCAUAUGCUCGACCCUGAAGUGGCCUAACUUUCAACUAGAAAGAUCAAGAAGUGUAAGCACUUAUGAGAUAAAAUUAAUUAAUUAAUCAUUAAGACACAUUUAAAUGACAUGAAGAUCUAAGGCUACUCGGUGUGGGAAGAGGCAAGUCCUUGGAGGAUGCCCAUCCACGUCAGCGCCACGUCAACAUCCAAGGAGGAUGCCCCUCUAAGGAUGGAC